rnacentral:lncRNA from 1 species
GGUUCAUCGGCCCUUGAAGCCAACAAUAGUAGCCCACUCCUUCAACUUCUGACCAGGCAUGAACUUCCGUAUCCUCAUUAUGAAAUUGUCCUGUAAAUAUGCCUUCUGGCUGACUAUCGUAAGUAGGCUCGGACUCAAAUACAAUCACCAGUGAUCGGUUACUCAGUAUCCUCCGUCGUUGUCGUGGUGUAGGUGGUUCUUCAUCUUGGAUUCGCCUUCAU